rnacentral:rRNA from 1 species
UACGUAGGUGGCAAGCGUUGUUCGGAAUUAUUGGGCGUAAAGGGCGCGUAGGCGGUUUGUUAAGUCGGUCGUGAAAGCCCGGGGCUCAACCCCGGAGGGUCGACCGAUACUGGCAGACUAGAGUACAGAAGAGGUAACUGGAAUUCCUGGUGUAGCGGUGAAAUGCGCAGAUAUCAGGAAGAACGCCUAUGGCGAAGGCAGCUCUCUGGGACGGUACUGACGCUGAGACGCGAAAGCGUGGGGAGCGAACAGG